CUGUUUAAAUCUGCAACAUUGCCUGAGUCAAGAAUCCUAUGGAGAAUGCCCAGCUACUAUUUUUUAUUGAAAGAAGCAGAUGCUUUAAAGCAGCUUCUUGCUUUGUGGUUCUAGGAUGCAAAUCUGGGAGAACUGAAGAACUUCAGAGAUUUGAGAAGGUGUUUGAAUUCCUAGGGUCAAAGGAAAGCUGAGAUGCAUGACGUUUUGAUGCCUCAAAGGCUGCAGCACUAUGAAAAGUUACCUCUUUGUCAAAGACAGGGAGUUGCAGUGAUUCUAUGAUGACUUCUCUAACAGUGGAAAGACUGGGAAUAUGUAAGGAAUGGGUCAAGACAAGAGAAGAAAGAUUUCCCUGUUAAAACA